AUUGAACGCUGGCGGCAGGCCUAACACAUGCAAGUCGAGCGGCAGCACAAGGGAGUUUACUCCUGAGGUGGCGAGCGGCGGACGGGUGAGUAAUGCCUAGGGAUCUGCCCAGUCGAGGGGGAUAACAGUUGGAAACGACUGCUAAUACCGCAUACGCCCUACGGGGGAAAGAGGGGGACCUUCGGGCCUCUCGCGAUUGGAUGAACCUAGGUGGGAUUAGCUAGUUGGUGAGGUAAUGGCUCACCAAGGCGACGAUCCCUAGCUGUUCUGAGAGGAUGGUAAGCCACACUGGGACUGAGACACGGCCCAGACUCCUACGGGAGGCAGCAGUGGGGAAUAUUGCACAAUGGGGGAAACCCUGAUGCAGCCAUGCCGCGUGUGUGAAGAAGGCCUUCGGGUUGUAAAGCACUUUCAGUAGGGAGGAAAGGGUGAGUCUUAAUACGGCUCAUCUUUGACGUUACCUACAGAAGAAGGACCGGCUAACUCCGUGCCAGCCGCCGCCGUAAGAC
rnacentral:rRNA from 1 species